rnacentral:misc_RNA from 1 species
GCUCCCCUUCCCAAUAUUACUCUAUCAAUAUGUCACUAGCAAAUUUUGUAUUUGUCAAUCAUUGAAAUAUAGCUUGCUUGUUUCCUAAUCUCCCUUCAGGUUUUACAAUAUAGUUUAAUACACCAACUUCAAAACUUGGCAUAAACAUGACUUCUUAUUUUGUUGGCUGGAUCACUAGUGUAAAAUAUCCCCUUGCAUAUAGAUGUAACAAUUGGGUUAACUUUUCUAAUUGACAUUGUUUUGAAAAUAACUUAGCAACCAAACUUCUCAU